UUGUCACAAAGCUAAUGUUGGAGAAGCUCAACUCCUCAGAAGUCUCUCACUUCGGUUAUAUUGUCACUGAAAUACCAUCACUUUCAGAGGAUGCCAUGACGGUUUUGCAACAAGUAGAAUUAAUUAAAAAUUUAAAAUUGAAGCCUGAUAUUAUAAUCAAUAUUAGGGUAAAAAUAUUAGUUGUUUUUUUUCUUUAGUAUAGAAAAUCUUGAUA
rnacentral:lncRNA from 1 species